GUGUCAGCCGCCGCGGUAAGACGUAGGGAGCGAGCGUUGUCCGGAUUCAUUGGGCGUAAAGAGCGCGCAGGCGGUUUGGUAAGUCGGAUGUGAAAACCCGGGGCUCAACCCCGGGCGUGCAUCUCGAUACUGCCCGACUAGAGGUAGGUAGGGGAGAUCGGAAUUCCUGGUGUAGCGGUGAAAUGCGCAGAUAUCAGGAGGAACACCGGUGGCGAAGGCGGAUCUCUGGGCCUUACCUGACGCUCAGGCGCGAAAGCUAGGGGAGCGAACAGGAUUAGAAACCCUCGUAGUCC
rnacentral:rRNA from 1 species